rnacentral:rRNA from 1 species
GAUAGUGCUGGCUAUGCAGGCGCGGAAGUCACAAGGGGUCGGUCGUUAAUCGGUUUUACGGGGCGUAAAGCGUGUGCAUGCGGUUUUGUAAGACAGGUGUGAAAUCCCCGGGCUUAACCUGGGAACUGCGUGUGUGACUGCAAGGCUAGAGUACGGCAGAGGGGGGUGGAAUUCCUGGUGUAGCAGUGAAAUGCGUAGAUAUCAGGAGGAACACCGAUGGCGAAGGCAGCCCCCUGGGCCUGUACUGACGCUCAUGCACGAAAGCGUGGGGAGCAAACAGGAUUAGAUACCCCGGUAGUC